rnacentral:rRNA from 1 species
GACAAGAAAUAACAAUACAGGGCUUUCGUCUUGUAAUUGGAAUGAUGGUGAUGUACAACCUCACCAGAGUACCAAUUGGAGGGCAAGUCUGGUGCCAGCAGCCGCGGUAAUUCCAGCUCCAAUAGCGUAUAUUAAACUUGUUGCAGUUAAAAAGCUCGUAGUUGUAUUUCAGCCUCGCGUUUUUUCCCUCUUUUCGGGUCUUUUCGCUGGCUUUCUUUUUACUUUGAGAAAAUUAGAGUGUUUCAAGCAGACUUUUGUCUUGAAUACUUCAGCAUGGAAUAAUAGAGUAGGACCUUGGUUCUAUUUUGUUGGUUUCGAGCCUUGGUAAUGGUUAAUAGGAACGGUUGGGGGCAUUCGUAUUUAACUGUCAGAGGUGAAAUUCUUAG